UCCUACGGGGGGCAGCAGUGAGGAAUAUUGGUCAAUGGGCGGAAGCCUGAACCAGCCAAGUCGCGUGAGGGAAUAAGGCCCUACGGGUCGUAAACCUCUUUUGCCGGGGAGCAAGGGCGGGGACGUGUCCCGGCCCGGAGAGUACCCGGAGAAAAAGCAUCGGCUAACUCCGUGCCAGCAGCCGCGGUAAUACGGAGGAUGCGAGCGUUAUCCGGAUUUAUUGGGUUUAAAGGGAGCGUAGGCGGAUCGUUAAGUCAGUGGUCAAAUUGAGGGGCUCAACCGCUUACCGCCAUUGAAACUGGCGG
rnacentral:rRNA from 1 species